GACGAACGCUGGCGGCGUGCCUAACACAUGCAAGUCGAGCGAGAGGAGUUCUUCGGAACGAAUCUAGCGGCGGACGGGUGAGUAACACGUGGGCAACCUACCUUAUAGAGGGGAAUAGCCUUCCGAAAGGAAGAUUAAUACCGCAUAACAUUGCAGUUUCGCAUGAAGCAGCAAUUAAAGGAGAAAUCCGCUAUAAGAUGGGCCCGCGGCGCAUUAGCUAGUUGGUGAGGUAAAGGCUCACCAAGGCGACGAUGCGUAGCCGACCUGAGAGGGUGAUCGGCCACAUUGGGACUGAGACACGGCCCAGACUCCUACGGGUGGCAG
rnacentral:rRNA from 1 species